rnacentral:rRNA from 1 species
GUUCUCCUACGGGACGCAGCAGUGAGGAAUAUUGGUCAAUGGUCGGGAGACUGAACCAGCCACGCCGCGUGAGGGAGGAAGGUACAGAGUAUCGUAAACCUCUUUUGUCAGGGAACAAAGACUGGGACGCGUCCCCGGAUGAGUGUACCUGAAGAAAAAGCAUCGGCUAACUCCGUGCCAGCAGCCGCGGUAAUACGGAGGAUGCGAGCGUUAUCCGGAUUUAUUGGGCUUAAAGGGUGCGCAGGCGGUCUGUUAAGUCAGCGGCCAAAGCCCGGGGCUCAACCCCGGCCCGCCGUUGAAACUGG